UGAUUUUUUUUCUCUGAAAAGACAUUUUUCAUGCAUCAGCACAAUGCAUCAGUACAAAAUAAACAUUUAAUAUUGAAAAUUUGUAUUCUAAUAUACUAAACUGCAAUAAUUUGGAAAUCAUCCAGAUUCACAAAUUAAGAUGAAGAUUAAUAAUAUCAUCUAAUUUACACAUUUUAUUUAAAAAUCAACCCAAUUUAUGAAAAUGAAUAAUAAAUCUAACUUUAUCUACUUACAUGUCUUGUACAUGAAAUUAAAUUAUUUAAUAUAUAGCAAUGGAUAUUCCAUUAUGUUUGGAGAGAUUUGUUGCUAUCUUCAGGUACAUAUCCAUGAGUUCAGGUUAAGGGUGAUUGUUUGGAAGCCAUCUUUGACCUUCAGAAGACAAAAGGCAGUGCUAGAUCUAUAUGUGUACUAAAUUUUUGUGCACCCUUUUUAAUCCCUUCUAAAUCGGAAAAUGGAUUUAUGAUUCGAAAUUAAACUUGUACUUAUAUAAUGUUUUCUGAGGUCAGCAGGAGCAUGAUAGGAAUAAAAAGUUUUGAAUGUUGAAAAAGAAGAUAUUUUUUUUUCAAUGGGUUGCUAUGCUGGGUUAUUUUUAACGCAUUUAAAAACUCAUGGUUAAUCAAAGUUUGAGUGGCAAACAAAAAAAAAACCAAGAAACUAACACACGGAAACUCAUUUUAUUUUAUAUUUGUUAAUACAAAAUGUAUACAGUUUCCGGUUGGUAAUUUGCAAUGUACAAUCAGCUUAACUUUGCCUUUAUAAGGUUAUUUGAAUAAAAGGCAAUCAAAUUUAAUGAUAUUUUGGUUUUGAAGAGACUUGGAUUUAUUUUAAGGAAGGCAUUAUAUAUAUAAACUUAAAUUGUGCCGCCC
rnacentral:lncRNA from 1 species